GUUAAAAUAGAAUCUACUUUGAAAUGCAAUCACAUUUUAAAGGUGAACGAAAUUAGAUUAAAAAAAAAAGCCUACCUUUUGAGUUACUUUCAGAAGAUAACACAGGUUCUCGAGGCUGGACAGUCCAAGAUCAAGGUGCCUGCAUCUGGCGUCUAGUGUGGACCCUAUUCCUGGUUUGCAGCAUUGUUGGUGCUCUGAGGGUGUCAGCCAGGCCACUCAUGCAGACCAUUGCGGCAGCACUGAAAAUGGAAGAAAGAUGGGAUUCUGCUGUCUUUUGUUUUGGCUGAUGAACAGCACCGAGAUGGAGUGGCUCCAGCAGCCAGAACAAGCCACCAUCUCCCCUGGGCUUUCACAGUAGCCUCCUGACUGGUCUUGUUGCUUCCACACUUACACUUCCUGUUCUCUGCAAGGCAGCCAGAGUGACCUUUCACUAAUCCUUGUAUGACCUCUGAAAAUAUGACCUGAAGCAGAUGGAUGCACUCACAUAAGAAACAUCACCUGUGGCCUUCAUCGAAAAUGGGCCUGCUGCUUGAAGAAGUUGGGCUCUUGGAGUUCUCUAGCACAGGGGCCAUGAAAAUCAAUGACUUCCUUGUUUGCUGACGGAGCAGAGGUAGAAUCUCUUGGUGUUUCCACGGAGAAAACACUGACCAUGAAGAGCCAAGAAAGAUGACAUGAUGAAGCCAUCAGGGGAAGCACCAAACAUCCUCAACUCUGCUCACCCAUGGUUUUCUCCCGCCCUCCCAGAGCUCCUCCUGCUGGCCUUCAUUGGCAUCACCAGCACUGGAGCUAUUCCAGUGAGGAUUUUUGCUGCGGCACAUCACGGAGUGGCAUGAGAGGUCAGAGAACUCCUAGUAUCCCCCAAAUAUCCAUUCUGUUCUUCUUCCUUAGUGAUGGGCCCCCGACAUGAAACUGGCACUCAGAAUGAAGAAUGCCUUUUCCAGCCUCCCUCGCUGGUGGAGUCUCCGUGUUCCAGCCAAUGAAGUAAGUGACAUGGCAUGUGCAGUGUGGGGAGAGAAGAGGGGAGGGAAAGGAGUCAUGGAAGGUUUAUGCCAAACGCCGAGGAUGGGGAGAA
rnacentral:lncRNA from 1 species